GCACUUACCUGGUGUCGGGCCCACCGGCGAUCAAUGAGGCCGGGACCCCGUGCCGAGGCCUCCCAUUGCACUGCGGGUAGCUGAAGCAUGCCACUACUCCAAAUUGGAGUAGGUGGGACAUAUAAUUUUUGGUAGUGGGGCUUGGCGGGCGCGCCAGCCCCUC